rnacentral:rRNA from 1 species
UACGGGGGGGGCAAGCGUUGUUCGGAAUUACUGGGCGUAAAGGGCUCGUAGGCGGCCAACUAAGUUGGACGUGAAAUCCCUCGGCUUAACCGGGGAACUGCGUCCGAUACUGGAUGGCUUGAGUUCGGGAGAGGGAUGCGGAAUUCCAGGUGUAGCGGUGAAAUGCGUAGAUAUCUGGAGGAACACCGGUGGCGAAGGCGGCAUCCUGGACCGACACUGACGCUGAGGAGCGAAAGCCAGGGGAGCAAACGGG